rnacentral:rRNA from 1 species
UACGUAGGGGGCAAGCGUUGUCCGGAAUUACUGGGCGUAAAGAGCUCGUAGGCGGUCUGUCGCGUCGAUCGUGAAAACUUGGGGCUUAACCCUGAGCUUGCGGUCGAUACGGGCAUGACUGGAGUUCGGCAGGGGAGACUGGAAUUCCUGGUGUAGCGGUGAAAUGCGCAGAUAUCAGGAGGAACACCGGUGGCGAAGGCGGCAUCCUGGGCCGGUAUUGACGCUGAGGAGCGAAAGCCAGGGGAGCAAACGGG